GUGGGGAAUAUUGGACAAUGGGGGAAACCCUGAUCCAGCCAUGCCGCGUGUGUGAAGAAGGCCUUCGGGUUGUAAAGCUCUGUGGGGAGGGAAGAAAAAGCGGGAGAGUAACUGCUCUCGUGUUGACGGUACCUCCUUAGCAAGCACCGGCUAACUCUGUGCCAGCAGCCGCGGUAAUACGUAGGGUGCAAGCGUUAAUCGGAAUUACUGGGCGUAAAGCGUGCGCAGGCGGCUUUGUAAGACAGAUGUGAAAUCCCCGGGCUCAACCUGGGAAGUGCAUUUGUGACUGCAUGGCUAGAGUGCGUCAGAGGGAGGUGGAAUUCCGCGUGGAGCAGUGAAAUGCGUAGAGAUCUGGAGGAAUACCGAUGGCGAAGGCAGCCAUCUGGCCUAAUACUGACACUGAGGUGCGAAAGCAUGGGGAGCAAACAGGAUUAGAUACCCUAGUAGUCC
rnacentral:rRNA from 1 species